UCCAUCGAGUCUGGGCGGAGCAGAGGAGACCGCAAAGAUAUUUAAACAGAGCACAAAGGAAGAUACAAUGAACUCGGGAAGAACCAAGGACACGACCACAGCCUCUCUCAGAGGCAACACAAAACAAAGCAGAGGAAGGAAUACAACAACACCAGGGACCGUCUUGGAGGUGCAAACCAAACAAAGAGCGAGUACCGCUGAACCUCAAAAGCAGUUGUUGCUGAGUAAGAACUGGAUGCAUCUCCUGCUCCUGCAUAAGGACUGCUGACAUGAACAAGUGGGAGGAAGAUCAAGCUCCGGCAAGGACGGACUUCAGGAGCUGGUUCCUUCUUCUUUCACACGGAUGGGAGUGUCACAGCGCGCUUUCCUGUCUAAUCAGUCUCAACACAGCCUUGCACAACUCACCCUGCUUUAAGCUUUUAACCAGGGUGUAGGAGUUCAGAAUAAAAAACCACCUCCCUUCCCCCAAGAAAAAUGUAAUUGCCAAGAUUUGUUUUGAUGUAGCACAUACAGUAAACUUGAAUCACUGAAAGGGAA